rnacentral:rRNA from 1 species
UACGUAGGGUGCGAGCGUUGUCCGGAAUUAUUGGGCGUAAAGAGCUCGUAGGCGGUCUGUCGCGUCGAAUGUGAAAACCCGGGGCUCAACUCCGGGCUUGCAUUCGAUACGGGCAGGCUAGAGUUCGGUAGGGGAGUCUGGAAUUCCUGGUGUAGCGGUGAAAUGCGCAGAUAUCAGGAGGAACACCAAUGCGAAGGCAGCUCACUGGGACGGUAUUGACGCUGAGACGCGAAAGCGUGGGGAGCAACAGG